GUUAAGUAGGACCCUUCAUUUCAAUACAGUCAAAAUAGAAUAUAAAUGCUCUUAUGGUUACACAACAAAGCAUUAUACUCAAAAAUACUGUAAGCAUCUCGAUGCGCCAGAACAAUAUUAUGUCAGUUUCCAUAAUUGGUCUUGUGGUUACACAACGAACCUAAUAUGAUUCAUGACAUAAUAAUGUCCUAGCAUGAAGGAAGGCCAUAAUGUAGUGAAUAUAACACCAAGCAUCCCAGCCAAGAAUUAAAUUAAUCUAAUCAGCCAGGUAAGUGGGAGAGAGGUGGGGGUCCCCUCGUUGCUUUCCUUAGACACCAAUAAAUUGGCCAG
rnacentral:lncRNA from 1 species